UCUGGUGAUGAUGGCAGAGGGGAUACACACGUACCCAUCCCGAACACGACCGUUAAGCCCUCUAGCGCCGAUGGUACUUGGAACGCAGGUUCCUGGAAGAGUAGGACGUUGCCAGGC
rnacentral:rRNA from 1 species